AUUGAACGCUGGCGGCAGGCCUAACACAUGCAAGUCGAGCGAGCGGCGGACGGGUGAGUAAUGUCAGGGAAACUGCCUGCUGGAGGGGGCUAACUACUGGAAACGGUAGCUCAUACCGCAUACCAUCAGAUGUGCCCAGAUGGGAUUAGCUAGUAGGUGGGGUAAUGGCUCACCUAGGCGACGAUCCCUAGCUGGUCUGAGAGGAGGACCAGCCACACUGGAACUGAGACACGGUCCAGACUCCUACGGGAGGCAGCAGUGGGGAAUAUUGGACAAUGGGGGCAAGCCUGAUGCAGCCAUGCCGCGUGUGUGAAGAAGGCCUUCGGGUUGUAAAGUACUUUCAGCGGGGAGGCGUUACCCGCAGAAGAAGCACCGGCUAACUCCGUGCCAGCCGCCGCGGUAAUUC
rnacentral:rRNA from 1 species